rnacentral:lncRNA from 1 species
CUAAGUUUGGUGCUGAUUGGAAUGAGGUAGCCCAGAGGGAGAGAGGGAGGGUUAGAAGAUGACAAGGAGAGUGAAAGCCAGAGAGUGCAUGCAGCUGAUCAGGAGACAAAGAAGAUCCACAAAAACAAAGCUCUGCAAAUGCCAGAAAAAGAUUCAAGCAGGAGAGGAAGUGUUUCUGGAGCAAGGAUUGUAGAUCACCUACAAAACUUAUUUUCCUGACUUCUGAUAACCCCUCUGAGAGAACACAGGAGCAGAGCCAGGACAAGACGCUGUGAUUUCUCAUGGAUCUGGAAAUGUAUUAUGUUAAUAUUUUCCUAACAGGCAAAAUGUCUGUAGUUUUGUGAAAAAGAAACUUGCAGAAGUGGAAGUGAGUAGAUUUUAAAAGAACAGUUUUCAACAUUAUAAACUUGAAUGACAAAUGCUGUUGUAGUGUUGUUGAAAGAAACUCUUUUAGAUAUGAAUAUGAGCCCCCAUUUGCCUCAUCC